GGGAGGUGGGAGAGAGCGCGAAGAGGGAGGGGACCGAAGCUGGAGGGUCCCGAGUCCAGCGCCGUGUUGACGUAGAGAAACUUUCCCUCUCGGCCUCGAAGACGGCGCCCCGGCCGUGCUGGAGUGGAGAACGCCAGGCUCGGAGGACCCGGCAGCUCUCCACGCCCCUGCCCGAAGCCUGACCCGACUGCAUCUCUCAGUGAGUUAUUUAUGAUUCCAUCUGAUAUACAUAGGAGAGAAACUGAUAGAAGAAUUCUGAUGGCAACUGUAUGAUAGAAGCUAUAUAAAGUCGUGUCCAUUUUCUUUCAACUAUAUUUGAGCAUACCCAGUAGAGACGGGGUUUCACCGUGUUAACCAGGAUGGUCUCGAUCUCCUGACCUCGUGAUCCACCUGCCUUGGCCUCCCAAAGUGCUGAGAUUACAGGAUAUAAGGCGUGGAACUGAACAUUUAUUUGGCUGAUCCUCAUCAUGAACCGUGCUUUUAGCAGGAAGAAAGACAAAACAUGGAUGCAUACACCUGAAGCUUUAUCAAAACAUUUCAUUCCCUAUAAUGCAAAGAGAACGUAGGAGAAAUGAGAAUGAAGAGGAAAGGAUUGUUAAGAGAAGUAAAAUGUGGCAGAAAACACCAAGGUUUUGGAAAUAAUUUAGAUGUGAACACAGAAAUUGAUGUUAUCAAUGGAUUAUGUGGUUGCUUUUCAAAUAUUGAUUAGGAAAAUGUUUCUUGGCAGUACAGAAGUGGAACAGCCAAAAGGAACAGAAGUUGUGAGAGAUGCUGUAAGGAAACUAAAGUUUGCAAGACAUAUCAAGAAAUCUGAAGGCCAGAAAAUUCCUAAAGUGGAGUUGCAAAUAUCAAUUUAUGGAGUAAAAAUUCUAGAACCCAAAACAAAGGAAGUUCAACACAAUUGCCAGCUUCAUAGAAUAUCUUUUUGUGCAGAUGAUAAAACUGACAAGAGGAUAUUCACUUUCAUAUGCAAAGAUUCUGAGUCAAAUAAACAUUUGUGCUAUGUAUUUGACAGCGAAAAGUG
rnacentral:sRNA from 1 species